rnacentral:rRNA from 1 species
UACGGAGGGUGCAAGCGUUACUCGGAAUCACUGGGCGUAAAGCGCGCGCAGGCGGCUAUUUAAGUUGGAUGUGAAAGCCUAUGGCUCAACCAUAGAACUGCAUCCAAAACUAUUUAGCUAGAGUGUGGGAGAGGAAGAUGGAAUUAGUUGUGUAGGGGUAAAAUCCGUAGAGAUAACUAGGAAUACCAAAAGCGAAGGCAAUCUUCUGGAACACUACUGACGCUGAGGCGCGAAAGCGUGGGGAGCAAACAGGAGUAGAUACCCUAGUAGUCC